UUGACCUCGGAUCAUGUACGGAUACCCGCUGAACUUAAGCAUAUCAAUCGCGA
rnacentral:rRNA from 1 species